rnacentral:rRNA from 1 species
UACGUAGGGGGCGGCGUGUCGGAUUCGAUUGGUGCGUAAAGAGCUCGUAGGCGGCUUGGUAAGUCGGGUGUGAAACCUCCAGGCUCAACCUGGAGACGCCACUCGAUACUGCCAUGGCUAGAGUCCGGUAGGGGCCCACGGAAUUCCUGGUGUAGCGGUGAAAUGCGCAGAUAUCAGGAGGAACACCGGUGGCGAAGGCGGUGGGCUGGGCCGGAACUGACGCUGAGGAGCGAAAGCGUGGGGAGCGAACAGG